GACGAACGCUGGCGGCGUGCCUAAUACAUGCAAGUAGAACGCACAGUUUAUACCGUAGCUUGCUACGCCAUAGACUGUGAGUUGCGAACGGGUGAGUAACGCGUAGGUAACCUGCCUGGUAGCGGGGGAUAACUAUUGGAAACGAUAGCUAAUACCGCAUAAUAUUAAUUAUUGCAUGAUAAUUAAUUGAAAGGUGCAAUUGCACCACUACCAGAUGGACCUGCGUUGUAUUAGCUAGUAGGUGAGGUAACGGCUCACCUAGGCGACGAUACAUAGCCGACCUGAGAGGGUGAGCGGCCACACUGGGACUGAGACACGGCCCAGACUCCUACGGGAGGCAGCAGUAGGGAAUCUUCGGCAAUGGACGAAAGUCUGACCGAGCAACGCCGCGUGAGUGAAGAAGGUUUUCGGAUCGUAAAGCUCUGUUGUAAGAGAAGAACGGGUGUGAGAGUGGAAAGUUCACACUGUGACGGUAUCUUACCAGAAAGGGACGGCUAACUACGUG
rnacentral:rRNA from 1 species